UUUCAAACCGACCGAAAAUUCCAUGGCGCCAUCUUGUCCCCGUCCAAUACUCAUUCCAUUCUGCGCCCAGAGUUGGACGUCUAUGGACAGCUCACUUUCACAGGUCCUGGUUUCCUGUCAGAGCUGCUCCACCACCUCUUCACAGGAAGAACAAAUAUAACUGAUGACACCUGAGAGCUUCCUGCUUGAGG